CUACGGGGUGCUGCAGAGGGGAAUAUUGCACAAUGGGGGGAACCCUGAUGCAGCAACGCCGCGUGGAGGAUGACGCAUUUCGGUGUGUAAACUCCUUUUAUAUGUCAAGAAAAUGACGGUAGCAUAUGAAUAAGCACCGGCUAACUCCGUGCCAGCAGCCGCGGUAAUACGGAGGGUGCAAGCGUUACUCGGAAUCACUGGGCGUAAAGGACGCGUAGGCGGGUUGGAAAGUCAGGUGUGAAAUCCUACAGCUUAACUGUAGAACUGCACUUGAAACUUCUAAUCUAGAGUAUGGGAGGGGGAGAUGGAAUUAGUGGUGUAGGGGUAAAAUCCGUAGAUAUCACUAGGAAUACCUAAAGCGAAGGCGAUCUCCUGGAACAUUACUGACGCUAAGGCGUGAAAGCGUGGGGAGCAAACAGGAUUAGAUACCCCGGUAGUC
rnacentral:rRNA from 1 species